rnacentral:rRNA from 3 species
GGAGAACUGAGGGGGGCUGCUCCUAGUACGAGAGGACCGGAGUGGACGCAUCACUGGUGUUCGGGUUGUCAUGCCAAUGGCACUGCCCGGUAGCUAAAUGCGGAAGAGAUAAGUGCUGAAAGCAUCUAAGCACGAAACUUGCCCCGAGAUGAGUUCUCCCUGAGACUUUAGGUCUCCUGAAGGAACGUUGAAGACGACGACGUUGAUAGGCCGGGUGUGUAAGCGCAGCGAUGCGUUGAGCUAACCGGUACUAAUGAACCGUGAGGCUUAACCUUACAACGCCGAAG